rnacentral:lncRNA from 1 species
GUUGUGCCACCUAUUCUGUCAGGAAUUUAGUCAAUUUCAAAUUCUUGGGAAUCUGGUAGUUAAGAAAAGGUUGUUGAUGGAUUUUAUUUUUUAUUUUUAUUUUUAUUUUUUGUUUUGUUUUGUUAAAUUUUAAAAUUCUGGAUGUGAUCCCUAGUUUUUCUAUUAAGUGCCGUCCAACUAUUCCUAAUACUCCCAUCAUUCAAUUUUUUUUUCGAUUUCCCAAAUUCCCUGACGUUUGUCUCUUUUUUUUUCUUUGUUACUUUGCCAUUCCAACCUUUCUUGAUUUUUAUCAUAUUUCUUUGGCCACCAAUUCUGUUAUCUUUGUUUAGUUUAUUUUUUUAUUUGUUUAAUCAUUAUCUUUCCUCUGUUUUGCCAUCAAUUCCCUUGUCUUUGUUUUGUUUAUUUUGUUUAUUAUUUGUUUAAUCGUCAUCCUGCCUCUGUUUUGCCAUCAACUCUGUGGUGUCGUGUUUGUGAGCAGGAGAGCAUAGUGUUGUUGUAGUGUAAGUUUUAUGAUCCGUACCUUCUAUAAUUCUCUUACGAAUUAG